CCUACGGGAUGCAGCAGUAGGGAAUCUUCCACAAUGGGCGAAAGCCUGAUGGAGCAACGCCGCGUGGGUGAAGAAGGUCUUCGGAUCGUAAAACCCUGUUGUUAGAGACGAAAGUGCGUGAGAGUAACUGUUCACGUUUCGACGGUAUCUAACCAGAAAGCCACGGCUAACUACGUGACAGCAGCCGCGGUAAUACGUAGGUGGCAAGCGUUAUCCGGAUUUAUUGGGCGUAAAGGGAACGCAGGUGGUCUUUUAAGUCUGAUGUGAAAGCCUUCGGCUUAACCGGAGUAGUGCAUUGGAAACUGGGUGACUUGAGUGCAGAAGAGGAGAGUGGAACUCCAUGUGUAGCGGUGAAAUGCGUAGAUAUAUGGAAGAACACCAGUGGCGAAAGCGGCUCUCUGGUCUGUAACUGACGCUGAGGUUCGAAAGCGUGGGUAGCAAACAGGAUUAGAUACCCUUGUAGUC
rnacentral:rRNA from 1 species